rnacentral:rRNA from 1 species
GACAGAGGUGCCGAGCGUUAGGCGGAAUCACUGGGCUUAAAGCGUGUGUAGGCGGAUCGUUAAGUGCCUUGUGAAAUCCCACGGCUUAACCGUGGAACUGCUUGGCAUACUGGCGGUCUUGAGCAACCUAGGGGCAAGCGGAACAAGUGGUGGAGCGGUGAAAUGCGUAGAUAUCACUUGGAACGCCAAUGGUGAAAACAGGUAGCUGGGGAUGUGCCGACGCUGAGACACGAAAGCCAGGGGAGCGAACGGG